AAGGAGCACUUCUCCAGGUGGUGUCUCGAACAGUCGAGAUCGCCUCUGGCAGAGACAGUUUCGGACUCACAUGUAGUCCGGCUGGAGCUCAUGGGUGGAACGCUGACAACCUCUCCCGCGUAUCGGCCGGUACUCAGUGACCGGCCGGCGGUUGAUAUAUCGACACACUGUUGGGUCCUGAAAGAACAGACGUUCUUUCCAGGCAAAAAAUACGAUCCGCUCAGAUCUUCUGAGAUACCGGCCUUCUUCGAGGGUGCUGGUCCUGAAAUUCCGGUUUGGGUGGGUGUGUUGUUUGAGAACUGCACAGUGGACGCGAGCAUCUUUGUUA
rnacentral:misc_RNA from 1 species